AUGAACGCUGGCGGCGUGCCUAAUACAUGCAAGUCGAGCGAACAGACGAGGAGCUUGCUCCUCUGACGUUAGCGGCGGACGGGUGAGUAACACGUGGAUAACCUACCUAUAAGACUGGGAUAACUUCGGGAAACCGGAGCUAAUACCGGAUAAUAUAUUGAACCGCAUGGUUCAAUAGUGAAAGACGGUUUUGCUGUCACUUAUAGAUGGAUCCGCGCUGCAUUAGCUAGUUGGUAAGGUAACGGCUUACCAAGGCGACGAUGCGUAGCCGACCUGAGAGGGUGAUCGGCCACACUGGAACUGAGACACGGUCCAGACUCCUACGGGAGGCAGCAGUAGGGAAUCUUCCGCAAUGGACGAAAGCCUGACGGAGCAACGCCGCGUGAGUGAUGAAGGUCUUCGGAUCGUAAAACUCUGUUAUUAGGGAAGAACAAAUGUGUAAGUAACUAUGCACGUCUUGACGGUACCUAAUCAGAAAGCCACGGCUAACUACGUG
rnacentral:rRNA from 1 species